AUGGCAUGUGGGCUGAGCUGGCUUUUCCUGGUGGCUGUGUUAGGAGGGGUCCAGUGUGAGGUGCAGCUGGUGGAGUCUGGGGGAGACUUGGUGCAGCCUGGCCGGUCCGUGACACUCUCCUGUGCAGCCUCUGGAUUCAACUUGGGCAGCUCUUACAUGAACUGGGUCCGCCAGGCUCCAGGGAAGGGCCUAGAGUGGGUCUCACGCAUAAGUAGUGGUGGUACAUACUAUGCCGACUCUGUGGAGGGCCGAUUCACCAUAUCCAGAGACAACAGCAAGAACACGCUCUCUCUGCAAAUGAGCAGCCUGAGGGAGGAGGACACGGCCCUGUACUACUGUGUGAGAGACACAGUGAGAGGAAGGCCCUGUGGGCCCAGACACAAACCACCUGCAGGACGAAGCAGGCUCUUAGAUGACAGCAACCCUCCUUAUGGGUUGUGGCUGAGUCCUCCAUCCCCACUCUCGGCGGUAACGACUUUAUUACACUCUUUUCUGAUGGUAAAAUUCCAGUGA